rnacentral:lncRNA from 1 species
ACCGAGUAAUUUUUUAUGUUUUGUUGCAAUAUGGUAUAUAAAGACGAAACGAGAAAAAUAGUAUGAAAAGAUGAAGAGUUUGUGAAAAGAGUCAUCAGCCCAAAAACAAGCCUUGGACAAAGCUUGGGUCCUGCCCUAAACAACUUAGCCUUGGGCAAUGAUAAGAGUCACGCAUGGCAGCAGAUUUAAAUUAAAAAAUGUGCUUUUC